UAAGUCCGACACUUUAGCCUACCUACGAGCGGACUCCAUCAGGCUUUGCUUGGUGGUGAGAGUGGCGAACGGGUGAGUAAUGCGUGACCGACCUGCCCCAUACACCGGAAUAGCUCCUGGAAACGGGUGGUAAUGCCGGAUGCUCCGACUCCUCGCAUGGGGUGUCGGGAAAGAUUUCAUCGGUAUGGGAUGGGGUCGCGUCCUAUCAGGUAGUCGGCGGGGUAACGGCCCACCGAGCCUACGACGGGUAGCCGGCCUGAGAGGGCGACCGGCCACAUUGGGACUGAGAUACGGCCCAGACUCCUACGGGAGGCAGCAGUGGGGAAUAUUGCACAAUGGGCGCAAGCCUGAUGCAGCGACGCCGCGUGCGGGAUGACGGCCUUCGGGUUGUAAACCGCUUUUGAUCGGGAGCAAGCCUUCGGGUGAGUGUACCUUUCGAAUAAGCACCGGCUAACUACGUGCCAGCAGCCGCGGUAAUACGUAGGGUGCAAGCGUUAUCCGGAAUUAUUGGGCGUAAAGGGCUCGUAGGCGGUUCGUCGCGUCCGGUGUGAAAGUCCAUCGCUUAACGGUGGAUCUGCGCCGGGUACGGGCGGGCUGGAGUGCGGUAGGGGAGACUGGAAUUCCCGGUGUAACGGUGGAAUGUGUAGAUAUCGGGAAGAACACCAAUGGCGAAGGCAGGUCUCUGGGCCGUUACUGACGCUGAGGAGCGAAAGCGUGGGGAGCGAACAGGAUUAGAUACCCUGGUAGUCCACGCCGUAAACGGUGGAUGCUGGAUGUGGGGCCCGUUCCACGGGUUCCGUGUCGGAGCUAACGCGUUAAGCAUCCCGCCUGGGGAGUACGGCCGCAAGGCUAAAACUCAAAGAAAUUGACGGGGGCCCGCACAAGCGGCGGAGCAUGCGGAUUAAUUCGAUGCAACGCGAAGAACCUUACCUGGGCUUGACAUGUUCCCGACAGCCGUAGAGAUAUGGCCUCCCUUCGGGGCGGGUUCACAGGUGGUGCAUGGUCGUCGUCAGCUCGUGUCGUGAGAUGUUGGGUUAAGUCCCGCAACGAGCGCAACCCUCGCCCUGUGUUGCCAGCACGUCAUGGUGGGAACUCACGGGGGACCGCCGGGGUCAACUCGGAGGAAGGUGGGGAUGACGUCAGAUCAUCAUGCCCCUUACGUCCAGGGCUUCACGCAUGCUACAAUGGCCGGUACAACGGGAUGCGACACGGCGACGUGGAGCGGAUCCCUGAAAACCGGUCUCAGUUCGGAUUGGAGUCUGCAACCCGACUCCAUGAAGGCGGAGUCGCUAGUAAUCGCGGAUCAGCAACGCCGCGGUGAAUGCGUUCCCGGGCCUUGUACACACCGCCCGUCAAGUCAUGAAAGUGGGUAGCACCCGAAGCCGGUGGCCUAACCCUUUGUGGGAGUGG
rnacentral:rRNA from 1 species